AAUUGUGUGCUUUGGAAUGUGUGCUCUUGAAUCAAACUUCCUAAGCUCUUAUUCCAGGUUGCCACUUUUAGCAUUAUUAACUCAGACAAGUUUUAAAAAUUUUUAUGAACCUCAUUUCUUCAUCUAUAAGGUGGGAUGAUAAUGUUCUCCAUUAGAGUCAUGGGGUUUAAAUAAGAUGAUAUAUGUAGAGUAGUUUUAAGGAUGCUCAAUAAAUAAUAGCCAGCUCCAGUAUUAUUACUAUUUUAUUCUUAGGGACCAACCUACAUGCAUAUUUCACAUUAAAGAGAUUGUUGAUAAAAAUAAAUGCAGUAUUGGAGAUUAUCUUGGCAAUUUCAAUCAUUUCUGUGUUAUUGGAAAACAGGGGUUAUAAUGAAUAGAUUAAUAAAAAUAAAACUACACCAAGGAAAAAUGAUAUUAAAUGAGUUAUAACAUACUAAAUCACCCUGAUCAGAAUCAAAUUCUUACUGUAAUAAGCCAGUAGAGUCCAUAUAUUAGACAUUUAAAAAUGUGAUAUGCUUUUUUCCUAUUAUAAAUCCAGUUAGGUUAAGUGAAUUUCUAGGCUUUUAGUGGAAUUUCCAUCCUCUUUUUUUGACUGAUAAUUCCAGAGGACCAAGGAUUUCUCAAAGAGUGAAUCUAGCUUCCAUGUUUCAAGUCUCAGAAAGAAGUGCUAAUGUGGCUAAAAGUUGUAUCAAAUAUUUGCUGUUUCAUACAUAAAAAUAAUUUUAUAUUAAUUGGCUAAUUGUCUUCAGACCAAUAUUUUAUUAUAUUCUUAAUCUGGUGCUAUUUAUUCUGGAGAAUAAAUAGUAUAGCCAAAUUGCUAAUACCUUUACUAAUUGGGUAAAUUCUAGAAAUGUUAAGGAUAGUACAACAUAGAGCUAAAUAAAUAUUUACAGAAUGACUGUUGAAGACAUUUGGUUCUUAACAGUUGCCAUUGUAUAACAUGCAUGUUCUUACUGUUGCCGUGACCUUAUUAUGUUAGCUGUGUAUUGUGAUACAGCAUGUUACAUGUACCAUUGGGUGAUGUAACCACUGACCUGGUGUCAGGACAGAUUUUGUUGUAGGGACCCAGAUUAUUAAUGCCCACAUCACUGAUUUUUAUUACUCAGUGGUAUUUCUUACAUGCUACACGGCAGUGUCAAGGGUGAGAACCACUAGUUUCUCUAAGACAACCUUACAGAACACUAGAAAGACCAAGAUCUAUGUAAAGUCAGCUUGCAGGGCUGGUGUCAUAACAUUCUGAGACCUGGGGGAAUGAUACAUUGUUAUCUUUUGUUUUACAUGGGCUUCCCCUCACCCCCCCCCCCCCCCAUUUCCUAAUACAAGUAAAGCCAAUAGAGUUAGUUUGGGAUUGCAAAGGAAAUUAUCUCUUCUGUAUUACAAGAGGUCUCAAAAUAAGCUCUGUUUUAUUCUAAAAGGAUAAGGUAUUGCCCUUUCCACAUUACAUUUUCACUAUAAAAUCUUUAUGUUAAUAGUGGUUUUCUUAUUUUAUAUGUCACAGUGCAAAAAACAUGCCAUUGCUUUAAUAAAACUGUGUUCCUUCUUCUCCUCCUCCUCCUCCUUCUUCUUCAGUUUUUUUUUUUCUCUCUUUUUUUUUUUCUUCUUCAGUUUUUGACUUAUAGUAAAGAGAGUCACAUUCGGCUGUCACCAUGGCUUUACCCGCACCAUUCAUUCCUGGGGAAAUCGCUUGGCUGUCUUGGCCUGUGUAGUGACAGGUUAGUCCUUGGUGGGCUUAAAGUGCAAUGGAUAAAAGCCAUUCUCAUCUCCUGAAAUCCUCUUACAAACUAUCCUCCAAGAUGUGUUACACUAAGGAAAAUGUCUUCCAUUCCUUCCUGCUGAUUAUAAGUAGUGAUAUACUAGGAUGAUAACAGGGCUGGAUAUGAAAACAAAUGAGUAUCUGAAAAAUCAUUCCAUUGCAACCAAAUGCAUUUGAAAUGAUUCUUUUUAUUUUUUUUUAAAUUCCAAGAAUAUAAAACAUAAACUCUUACAUUGAAAUUUUGUUCUUGCUGAUUUUUUUAACCCUUUUGGAGACUUAACAAAAAGUUCAGUGGUAGUCAACCUCGAUCCUUUCUUAUAUUUUGACUGCUACUGACUUUUUAUGUCUAUAGACCUUUUGCAUAUAAUUUAAUAUUGUUGAUAUAUCCCAAUUAAUUAAGCUAUACCCUUCCUACAAAAAGAAAAAGCUCAUUUGUUUGAACUGCAGUAAUUCUGAAUGUAAUGAUUUAGAUGUGCCUAUUACAAUGGCAUAGUUAAAAAAAUAAGUACUGCUGAACAAAUUCAGAAUGUAUACAGGAUAACAGACUGUACAUUUAAGCUUCUUACAUAACAAACUUUUUCAAGCGAUUCAGCAUUGAGUAUUCUUCUCUACUCAUUAAAGACUAAUUCUCUGUAGGUUUUGUGGCUUUAAAGACUAAUUCUCUGUGGGUUUUGUGGCUUACUUUGUGUUACUAGUUGUAUAUGAAAUUAGUAGAGCUGUAUAUUUUUCAGUAGACAUCAACCUUUCAUUAAUUUAGAAUGUCUGUUCCUUUAAUUAAUCCAAAUUAGAGAUUAUGUUUCUCCCCAAACAAAAUACAUCCUUACAUCAAUUAAAUGAGAGUUUUUGAUGAAAUGUUCCCUAACAGAGUAAGUAAUUGAGAUAUAAUUGUUUGUAG
rnacentral:lncRNA from 1 species